rnacentral:rRNA from 1 species
UACGGAGGGAGCUAGCGUUGUUCGGAAUUACUGGGCGUAAAGCGCACGUAGGCGGCUUGUUAAGUCAGGGGUGAAAUCCUGGAGCUCAACUCCAGAACUGCCUUUGAUACUGGCGAGCUUGAGUUCGGGAGAGGUGAGUGGAACUGCGAGUGUAGAGGUGAAAUUCGUAGAUAUUCGCAAGAACACCAGUGGCGAAGGCGGCUCACUGGCCCGAUACUGACGCUGAGGUGCGAAAGCGUGGGGAGCAAACAGG